UAUUUGGGGGGGCUUAGGAACAUUUUGGGGUAGCUUUAGACCCCCUAAAAGAGACCUAAAGACAUCCAUGGAGUCUAGAGAAACACACACACACA